GUUAGUUCGGGUACAGGCAGUAUGUUCCAUCCCCACCUCUUGAUUGUAUGAUGGCGACGGAUAUUGAUGUUGAUUGGAUUUGUUACCAUCAGAGCGUUAUCGCUGUGAUCCGUCCAACUACCCUAGCCACCACUCCAUCUGAUGUAGAAGAUGAUUAUCUGGAGUGGUAUUAUUGUGUUUCGCAUCCACGGUUGGUCCCUCCCCAUCGUGACGAUCCAAGAGAGGUACCAGUUCCUGUAUAUGACGCCGGACCAUCUGAUCCUGAUUGGGCUCGUGUAUCUACAUUGAUUCAUCGCUAUCUGAGACAAGUUAAUGCUGAAGAGGAAGAUCCACAGUUUGCUGAUUUAUUUGAAGCUUUGCAUAUUUCUCGUUCACAUUGAUUUAUGUAUUAAGUUUUAGAACUGAAUAUAAUAGACAUAAUAUAAAAUUCAUGUUUUGAUUAC
rnacentral:lncRNA from 1 species